UACAUGUGGGGCAAGCGUUGUUCGGAAUUACUGGGCAUAGAGGGUGCGUAGGCGGCAUGCCAAGUCAGGGGUGAAAGGUUUCGGCCCAACCGGGACAGUGCCUUUGAUACUGGCGUGCUUGAGUGCGUGAGGGGUGACUGGAACGAGUGGUGUAGCGGUGAAAUGCGUAGAUAUCACUCGGAAGGCCAACGGCGAAGGCAGGUCACUGGUACGCAACUGACACUGAGGCACGAAAGCGUGGGGAGCAAACAGG
rnacentral:rRNA from 1 species